rnacentral:rRNA from 1 species
UACGGAGGGUGCAAGCGUUAUCCGGAUUCACUGGGUUUAAAGGGUGCGUAGGCGGGCAGGUAAGUCAGUGGUGAAAUCCUAGAGCUCAACUCUAGAACUGCCAUUGAUACUAUCUGUCUUGAAUAUUGUGGAGGUAAGCGGAAUAUGUCAUGUAGCGGUGAAAUGCUUAGAUAUGACAUAGAACACCAAUUGCGUAGGCAGCUUACUACACGAUCAUUGAC